rnacentral:rRNA from 1 species
AGUGAACGCUGGCGGUAGGCCUAACACAUGCAAGUCGAACGGCAGCACAGUAAGAGCUUGCUCUUACGGGUGGCGAGUGGCGGACGGGUGAGGAAUACAUCGGAAUCUACUUUUUCGUGGGGGAUAACGUAGGGAAACUUACGCUAAUACCGCAUACGACCUACGGGUGAAAGCAGGGGAUCUUCGGACCUUGCGCGAUUGAAUGAGCCGAUGUCGGAUUAGCUAGUUGGCGGGGUAAAGGCCCACCAAGGCGACGAUCCGUAGCUGGUCUGAGAGGAUGAUCAGCCACACUGGAACUGAGACACGGUCCAGACUCCUACGGGAGGCAGCAGUGGGGAAUAUUGGACAAUGGGCGCAAGCCUGAUCCAGCCAUACCGCGUGUGUGAAGAAGGCCUUCGGGUUGUAAAGCCCUUUUGUUGGGAAAGAAAAGCAGCAGGUUAAUACCUCGCUGUUCUGACGGUACCCAAAGAAUAAGCACCGGCUAACUUCGUG